AAGUUACAACAUAAGCAGUAUCAGUAGUUUUCCGUGGCUGUCUGAGUGGCUUCUCUACUGAUACUGAUGAAAGGAUGGUUCUUGCCUUUUGUAGUCCUGUGCAGCGAAAAUAACUCGUUUCUUUUCCAGGUGAAGAACAACCCUGCUGCAUUUCCAGAUUCUUUCUCCUUUUCUUUGAUGGGAGAAAUAUCAAAGUGAGGAGGAAGCGGCUCUUGGUUGGGGAAAGCGUGUUAGAAAAGUUGUUUCUUACAAAGAAGCAUAGGCAGCACAUCCAAGUGAAAUGGCCAACGAGAGUGGUGACGAAGAGGAACGGGUGCCAGAGCAAGAGCUAGAACGGGAGUAUACACCUGCUGGACGCGCUCUAAAGGAAAAAUAUUGAUGAAAGAGAAGUUGUGACUGCUCCUCCGCCCCUACCAGAUCCUGAGCUGCCACCCA